UACGUAGGGGGCAAGCGUUAUCCGGAUUUAUUGGGUUUAAAGGGUGCGUAGGCGGCCUUUUAAGUCAGCGGUGAAAGUCUGUGGCUCAACCCCGGCGAGCCGUUGAAACUGGCUGUCUUGAGAUGUCGAGAGGUAUGCGGAAUGCGCAGUGUAGCGGUGAAAUGCUUAGAUAUUGCGCAGAACUCCGAUUGCGAAGGCAGCAUACCGGCGGCGAUCUGACGCUGAGGCACGAAAGCGUGGGUAUCGAACAGG
rnacentral:rRNA from 1 species